UACGUAGGGACCAAGCGUUGUUCGGAUUUACUGGGCGUAAAGGGCGCGUAGGCGGCAUGACAAGUCACUUGUGAAAUCUCUGGGCUUAACUCAGAACGGCCAAGUGAUACUGUCGCGCUAGAGUGCGGAAGGGGCAAUCGGAAUUCUCGGUGUAGCGGUGAAAUGCGUAGAUAUCGAGAGGAACACCUGAGGUGAAGACGGGUUGCUGGGCCGACACUGACGCUGAGGCGCGAAAGCCAGGGGAGCAAACGGG
rnacentral:rRNA from 1 species